GGAUCAGUACGCUGGUCGUGCCUUGUGUAUGUACUGGUGUCACUGGUUCCUACCUUCUGACGAACCGUCAUGUCAUUAAUUUGGUGUGGCGGGGAAUCAGGACUGUUACUUUGAAAAAAUUAGAGUGUUCAAAGCAGGCUUUCGCCCGAAUACAUUAGCAUGGAAUAAUAGAAUAGGACG
rnacentral:rRNA from 1 species